AGUGAACGCUGGCGGUAGGCCUAACACAUGCAAGUCGAACGGCAGCACAGUAAGAGCUUGCUCUUACGGGUGGCGAGUGGCGGACGGGUGAGGAAUACAUCGGAAUCUACUUUUUCGUGGGGGAUAACGUAGGGAAACUUACGCUAAUACCGCAUACGACCUACGGGUGAAAGCAGGGGAUCUUCGGACCUUGCGCGAUUGAAUGAGCCGAUGUCGGAUUAGCUAGUUGGCGGGGUAAAGGCCCACCAAGGCGACGAUCCGUAGCUGGUCUGAGAGGGUGGUCCGGCACACUGGAAGUGAGACACGGCCCAGACUCCGACGGGAGGAAGCAGUGGGGAAUAUUGGACGAUGGGCGAGAGCCUGAUCCAGCCAUACCGCGUGGGUGAAGAAGGCCUUCGGGUUGUAAAGCCCUUUUGUUGGGAAAGAAAAGCAGCAGGUUAAUCCCCCGCUGUUCUGACGGUACCCAAAGAAUAAGCACCGGCUAACUUCGUG
rnacentral:rRNA from 1 species